AGCGCAGGCGGGAAGACAAGUUGGAAGUGAAAUCCAUGGGCUCAACCCAUGAACUGCUUUCAAAACUGUUUUUUCUUGAGUAGUGCAGAGGUAGGCGGAAUUCCCGGUGUAGCGGUGGAAUGCGUAGAUAUCGGGAGGAACACCAGUGGCGAAGGCGGCCUACUGGGCACCAACUGACGCUGAGGCUCGAAAGUGUGGGUAGCAAACA
rnacentral:rRNA from 1 species